rnacentral:tRNA from 1 species
GGCUCCAUAGUGCAGCGGUCAGCACGUCUGCUUUGCACGCAGAAGGUCCUGGGUUUGUGCCCCAGUGGAGCCA